UGUGGAGUGUCCUGAUGUAAUAUUCUCAAUAACUAGGCACGAAAGCUGGGUGCUGCCGCGCCCCCACCAAAAUGAACGCCAGCAGCGUCGGGGCCACUUCGCCGGCGACACUCCAUCGUUUUCGCAUCCACCGCAGAAUAAAUUUAGCUUCUUUAGCUUAUUCCUCUCCUUUUAAAUUUUGGGCUUCACCUCUCUCGCUCCACAUCUCUUCUAUCCUCCGCCGACCCCGCGGCCGUCCUCCUCCGACGGACCAACGCCUUCGCCAGAAACCCAUCGAUCCUGACCGAAACGUCGAGUUCUGCUUCGAUUUAAACGAUCUCUCAGCUCGUACGUUGGCGAGUAUCAAGCGGCAUUUCCGCUCAUCCGAGGCCAAGAUCGAUCGGUUCUUUGCCUCCGGUGUCGAGGCCUACAAUGAUUUGAAAACUUCCCUGAGAGUAGAUCGAGGUAGUCGAAUCGUGUUCUCCUGUCGGAGGUCUUCGCUUCAAUUUUUUGGGAAUUUGUUCAUCUGGAGCUUUAUUGCCAUCUUUGCGUUGAGGUUUUUAUUAUGGCUUUGGUCUUUUCGACACCGUUGGGUUUUUGUUGGUUGGUCGGUAACGCGAAGGGACCGCAGUCUAGGGGGUAGGGAAGUGGUUGUCGGGAGGAGGGAUAGGAUGCGCGAGUCUGAGCGGAGAGGUUUUAAGGGUUUGGUGAAUCCCCUUUCUACUGUGGGAGGAAAAGAUUUAAGGAGUAGAGCGACCUUGAUGGAUAAGAAGAACAAUAUACAGGAAAAGCUGCCAAAAUGGUGGCCGGGUUCCAUACCUUCGCGGGUUAUUUUCUUUGCAGAAAGCGAGGGCCAAAGAGAUGUUAACAAAUUAGUCAAAGGUAAAUGCAACUCUAUUUUGCAUAUGAAAUUUGGAUGAUUCAUUCAUGCCUUUCUUCCACGGAUCAUUUCAUGUUGAUUUAAUUGCCAGCAAUCAUGGAUAACAGAAUGAGCGGAAUGGAUUAUAAAGAUGAUGAUAUAAUACGACUUCGAGAGAUAUGUAAAACUUCGGGUG